UUUUGGUCCUUUCACUUUAAGUUGUUUUUAGUUAUGUGGGUGGGUUUUGUAGAUAAAUCCCAAAACUUUAUACUGAUUUUAAUUCAAUUAAAUUGAAAUUAUAUUUUAUUGAUAAACUUGACACAAAAGAAACAACCUUUUUAGCAUACUCUCUCUCUCUCUCUAAUGGCCAUAAGGAAAACUAAGGAACCAGACCUAGAUUCAUUUAUUUCUCAAGGAAAUUCAGCAAGGAAUGGGAAGAAAAUUGGGUAGCAAGAACUAUGGUAAAGGACGAGACUAAAUCAAAAAUGAGUCUGGAGCUCUACGAAGAUCAUACAUAUCAAUACGGUUCGAUCUGGAGAGUUCGAUCUUUGAGACAACAUGGGCUCAGUUGAGUUGGUCGCUAGGCGACGUUUUAAAUUAUUACAUUUUGGUCAUUUUGUAAAAAAAUCAGGAUCCCAAAGUUUAUAAAUUUUUGUAAACUAUAAUUAGUAAAGUUUGUGUUUAUUUAUAAAUUUUUUAUUAAAUGCA